GGGAAUGGUCGGGAUA
rnacentral:tRNA from 1 species